AUUGAACGCUGGCGGCAGGCCUAACACAUGCAAGUCGAGCGGAGCGGCGGACGGGUGCGUAAUGCCUAGGAAUCUGCCUGGUAGUGGGGGAUAACGUCCGGAACCGGGAGCUAAUACCGCAACCUAUCAGCUUAGACUAAGUCGGAUUAGCUAGUGGGUGGGGUAAAGGCCUACCAAGGCGACGACCACUAACUGGUCUGAGAGGAUGAUCAGGCAUACUGGAACUGAGACACGGUCCAGACUCCUACGGGAGGCAGCAGUGGGGAAUAUUGGACAAUGGGCGAAAGCCUGAUCCAGCCAUGCCGCGUGUGUGAAGAAGGUCUGCGGGUUGUAAAGCACUUUAAGUUGGGAGGCGUUACCAACAGAAUAAGCACCGGCUAACUCCGUGCCAGCAGCCGCGGUAAUAC
rnacentral:rRNA from 1 species